AUACGGAGGAUGCAAGCGUUAUCCGGAUUUAUUGGGUUUAAAGGGUGCGUAGGCGGUUUGCUAAGCGGGAGGUGAAAUGCCGGCGCUCAACGUCGGAAGUGCCUCCCGAACUGGUGGACUUGAAUGACUCUGCCGUGGGAGGCAUGUGUAGUGUAGCGGUGAAAUGCUUAGAGAUUACACAGAACACCGAUUGCGAAGGCAUCUCACGAAUGGUUGAUUGACGCUGAGGCACGAAAGCGUGGGGAUCAAACAGGAUUAGAUACCCUGGUAGUCUACGCAGUAAACGAUGAUGGCUAACCGCUGGGCUUAUCAGUUCAGUGGCCAAGCGAAAGCGAUAAGCCUUCCACCUGGGGAGUAAGAUCGCAAGGUUUAAACUCAAAGGAAUUAACGGGG
rnacentral:rRNA from 1 species